CCUACGGGCGGCAGCAGUGAGGAAUAUUGGUCAAUGGGCGAGAGCCUGAACCAGCCAAGUCGCGUGAAGGAUGACGGACCUACGGGUUGUAAACUUCUUUUGUCAGGGAGCAAUUGAGUGCACGUGUGGUCUUAGCGAGAGUACCUGAAGAAAAAGCAUCGGCUAACUCCGUGCCAGCAGCCGCGGUAAUACGGGGGAUGCGAGCGUUAUGCGGAUUUAUUGGGUUUAAAGGGUGCGUAGGCGGAAUAUCAAGUCAGCGGGAAAAAUUCGGGGCUCAACCCCGUCGUGCCGUUGAAACUGAUGUUCUUGAGUGGGCGAGAGGUAUGCGGAAUGCGUGGUGUAGCGGUGAAAUGCAUAGAUAUCACGCAGAACUCCGAUUGCGAAGGCAGCAUACCGGCGACCAACUGACGCUGAAGCACGAAAGCGUGGGUAUCGAACAGGAUUAGAUACCCGAGUAGUC
rnacentral:rRNA from 1 species